CUUAGAAUAACCACUACUGUAUCAAUUUUGGUCUCUACUUCAAUUCAAGAUUUUUUUUCGAAAAAACAAAAACAAAAACAGAAAGAGAGGACCGGCGGCUGGUGGAGGCGGAAGCAGCGGCAGCUGAAAUAGUAAUGGGACAAGCUUUCAGGAAGCUCUUCGAUGCCUUCUUCGGCAACUCUGAGAUGAGGGUAAGACCUAGACCCAACCACACCACCACCCCCUUCCCCAGUCCCCAGCACCCCUCCCCUCCCACUCUCUCUCUCUUCUUCUUCCCCCUCCACCACCACCACCACCAAAACAAAGAAAAAAAAAAAAAA
rnacentral:lncRNA from 1 species